AAAUGUAUUUGAACCUAGAUAACCUUAGGGCACCUGAGUGGAUCAGUGAGUUAAGGCUCUGCCUGUGACUCGGAUCAUGAUCUCAGGGUCCUGGGAUUGAGCCCCCAUCGGGCUCUCUGCUCAUUGGGGAUCCUGCUUCCUCC